rnacentral:rRNA from 1 species
GACGAACGCUGGCGGCGUGCCUAACACAUGCAAGUCGAGCGGAAAUAAUUAAAGUUUACUUUGAUUAUUUUAGCGGCGGACGGGUGAGUAACACGUGGGCAACCUGCCCUUGAGAGGGGGAUAACACAGAGAAAUUUGUGCUAAUACCGCAUAACAUUUAGACUUCGCCUGGAGUUUAAAUCAAAGGAGUAAUCCGCUCAAGGAUGGGCCCGCGGCGCAUUAGCUAGUUGGUGAGGUAAUGGCUCACCAAGGCGACGAUGCGUAGCCGACCUGAGAGGGUGAUCGGCCACAUUGGAACUGAGAUACGGUCCAGACUCCUACGGGAGGCAGCAGUGGGGAAUAUUGCGCAAUGGGGGAAACCCUGACGCAGCAACGCCGCGUGAGCGAUGAAGGCCUUCGGGUUGUAAAGCUCUGUCUUUGGGGACGAUAAUGACGGUACCCAAAGAAGAAACUCCGGCCAACUUCGUGCCAGCCGCCGCCGUAA